rnacentral:lncRNA from 1 species
UAGUAGAGACGGGAUUUCACCAUAUUGGCCCGGUUGGUCUCCAACUCCUGAUCUCCGGUGAUCCAACUGCCUCAGCCUCCCAAAGUGUUAAGAUUACAGGCAUGAGCCACUGCGCCCCGCCCAAAGUCUCAUUGUAUUCGAAGCAAUUCUCCUGCCUCAGCCUCCUGACUAGCUGGGAUUACAGGUGCCUGCCCCCACACCUGGCUAAUUUUUGUAGUGUAGCAGAGAUG